GUUUGAAUCAAGGUUCGAUGCGGAGAAUCGCGUCGCUUAGGUGGGAAAGCGGUUUACACUGGUGGGAUUUUUCAUUUGGAUUAACGUAGCGAUCACUCGCUCGAUGCACUAGUAGUAGCUUGCAAAACGCGUAAUUUUCACGUCGAAACAAAGAUGGCUUAUUCCGAUACAGCGAGAUUAAUCAGUUUAGUGCGUGACAGAAGUUUACUGUGGAACGAACACGUCAAAGACUAUUUUUCCAACGUGAAAAAAAAAGAUGGAUAUUGGAUGGAAAUAUGUCGCGAGAUGGUGGAGGAUUUCGAUGAUAUCCCCGAAGAAGAGAGGGUAAAAGUGAUCGAGUCGUUCAAAAAUUGGUGGAAUUAUCUCCGCGAUCGUUUCAUCGUAGAGUAUCGAAACGUUUCAAAAGAUCCAACGUUAGGCACGGAGUUUGAACAUUUCGACCACCUGAAGUUUUUAGUUGGAGGUUUGAAAGAGGAAAGGGACGAAUCGUGCCAGGAACAAUGUCAUGCUUGAAUGAAAUUUCGAUUUAUCGAUCAGAAUUAUUGGUAAAGAUUAUUUAAGCGUUGAAUCAGGAUUUUGCAUCAUCUACAAUGCGUUGAGUUUCGCAGGACUUACAUAUUUCUCGAGAAGUGACGGACAAUUCUACGAUCGCUUUGUUAAAUGAAAAUUUUUUAGAUAAAUUAAAAACAACUUAUUGGAAAUAGGGGUAUUGAGAGGGCAGGGCAUAUCCUAAUGUUUCUCCCUUUUUAUUCUGCAGUGACAGAUAUAUAGUCGAUUCCAUAAAUAUUCAUACCCUUUAUAUCUGCCGAAGAAAUUUGUCUAAAUUAAAUGAGAGGUUUUACGUUCCCAAAUAAAUGUUUCAUUAGAUAUAUAUGCUCAAAUAAACUUUACACUUGUAUGUAUUUAUAACGAGAAAUUUGUUGAAACCAGCAAACCUCUCAUUUAAUUUAGACAAAUAUCUUCGAUAGAAUAUAGCGAGUAAGAAUACUUAUGAGACUGACUGUAUACAUAUAUCCUCAGUACAUUUAUUUUUGUAGUAAAAUAAAAGGUUGAAUUAUAGUAAAUAAUCCAACACAAACUCCAUUAUAAUUUAACAAACUUUUCAUUCGAAUAAUCGUUGUCAAAGAUGGUGACAAGAGCGUAGCUGACAAUUAAGUAAUUUUAAAGAGAACUCUAGCGUUAAAACUUAUCGUUCCGCGAUUCUGCGAACACUUGGGAGCGUUUAUGGUCGUGGUUCUUUAUAGCUCGUCACGUUUCGCACGAUUCACGAUAAAGGGGUAGCUUAUAAGAGCGGGUCGGCGAGCUGGCCUGGGCCACUUGUCGGAAAAUCACAGCGCAGCAUGAACCGGGUUAGAUUUUGGCUGAGCGUGAUCGCAAUCGGCGCGAUUCUGUCCUUCUGGGCCAUCGACCACGGAAUCGCUGCACCAGCACCCGACCCUCGACACACGAUUUACAUCGUCACGCAUCGACCGAAGAAGCAUCCCACCGAAGUUAUCGUAAUUCACAGGCGCAAACCGAAGACCAAAACGCAUGUCAUCUUUAUCACGCCGUGAACAGACUCUAAAUGGAAAGAGAAUCGUAGUCUGUAAAUUGACAAAAAUGGUCUCGAGGAGGUGGAGCAGGGAUAAGAGCACGCAGGUGGCAAAGGUGUCUGUGAUCGAUGUUUCGUGUUCGAACUGACGGUGCUGCAAUUGUAUCUGCAUGUGAAAAAUUGUUACUUUCACCAAUAUAUAAUCGCUACAAACACUGUGCGUGUACAGUGACUACGAACAUUGUUUGGGUCCACAUGAAUCUUGUAGAAUAGUUACGAGAAGCAACCUGCCUUUUUAUUCCUCGCAAUAUUGCAAGUCACAAAUGAGAAUUUGGACAAAAUUGCUGCAGGUAUAUCGCUUAUUGUAAAUGGAGAUGAGGAUGCCAUAGAAGCUAAUUUACCUUCUGUUUCUGGUCCGGGUGUUGUAACUGGAAGAUGUGCAAGUUAACAAUCGCUGUCAACGACAAUUACUUAUUGUAUCGUGGAGAAUAAUUGUGUAAUAAAGUAUUUUUGGGGGAUAUGUUCCUAGAUUUACGACGUCCCCACAGAGGGGACAUUCAAGUAGAACAAAGUUCAAUUUAGUUUUUUUUCUGUUAUCUCCAAGCAUGAUUACAAUUUGUCCAAUAACGGACAUUUGGUAACCUGUGUUAGCAGGUGUGAAAAAAUCUGUUGUAACAUGUGGACAUGUUAGGAUAAUAGGUCCUUCGGAUUUUAUGUUGUACAGAUUUCUUGCUAGUUCAUUGGGGUGGAUGUCUAAUCUUGUUUUAUAUUUAGUAGUUACUCAAGUUAUUUCGUUUGCUACCGAUCUAAUUUUCAGAUCUUUGCGUAUUUCGUCAUUACGCACAUACCACGGUGCAUUGACCACAGUCCUAAAUAUGUAUAAUGGAUUGUGCGGAUUCUAAUUUUGAUAUGUGGCUUUUUGCUGCCAUGCCCCACAUUUCAAUUCCAUAUGUCCAUAUGGGUUUAAUAAUUGUUUUAUAUAUUAGUAGUUUGUUGCCCAUAUUUAAUUGUGAGAGUUUGGUGGCAAGUCUAGAUGCGUUCCUAAAUAUUUAACUACUUUAAUUUGAGGUACUAUGACAUUAUUAACGUUAUCGCAGAAACCGUGCUUUUCUUUAAGGUAAAACAUAUCACAAACGUGAUAUGUUUACAUUUGUCAGCAUUUACGUUUAUUUUCCAUACGCUUAACCACUGAUCGAGUUUUAAGAGAUGUUGUUGUAACAUGGAAGUUGCUGUCUGAGGGUCUUCGUGGGUGGUUAAAAUUGCUGUAUCAUCAGCCAAUGUAAAAAUUGUGGUUUCUUGUGUAGUAGGAAUAUUGGAAGUGUAUCAUGUAUACAUAUAGAAUAGGCUCCAAAAGAUACUGACCUGGGGGACUCUUGCUUCAAUAUCGUAGAUGUCCGAAGGGGAAUCCUGAAUUUGAACAAAAAAUGUUCUAUUUUUGAGAUAUGGCUUGAUGAGCUCGUAGUAAGAUAUAAGACAAUUUAGUAAAAUGUUAUACAAACCGUUUUCAUUAAUUUUUCAAAAAGCCUAACCUAAAUAACUUCACGUGAACACAAAGCAACCGAAUCCAGGGGAACUCUGGCAUAUCGAGUUUCCAGAAGUCCCAAAAUCGGCGCAUUGUCAGCCAAUCGUGGAACGAGACUCGUCCGAGCGUCGAUUAAAGUUUCUGGCGGCGUGUAAAGGAUGUCUCGAAACGCUCGGGACUCGAAACUCUCGCGGAUGCCCUCACACCGCGAACUCUUUACGGAAAGCGUGGCUUUUCCAGAGUUUCCCCGCAAAAUUGGCAAACUUUAGGCCUCGCAUCAACGAUGAGGCGCGAGCCUUCGAUAUCCGUACCAACUUGGUGUUAUAUCGCGCGAUACUAUCCGAAAUACUUCGAGAACUUUUAAGAUUCCCGUGUUCGCGUUAUCAUGGUAUUUGCUAUGCUUUGACAGGAGACAUUAGCGAAGUUGGUGGACAAACUGUAGGUUCUUUUCCAGAGGUAAAACUUUGGCGUUUUUCGAGUCCCCAUUUUAUUGCAACCUAUUGCUACCUCGACAAUAUCGGUGAUAAAAUGUCGAGGAAAGAAAGAAGCAUGUUUUGAGGUGCCCUAAAUCUCAAGUAAAAAAGUUUGGACGAUUAUUAAUUGAGUCGUUCGUUGUACAAAUUAAUUGACUCUAUAAAACAAAAAGUUGAAAUAAAUGAUUUAUUAUUCAGGAAAGUUGUUAU